rnacentral:tRNA from 1 species
AAGAAAGAAUUGAUGAGCUGCUAACUCAUUAUAUCAUAUCUAACUAUAUGACUUUCUUA